GACGAACGCUGGCGGCGUGCCUAAUACAUGCAAGUCGAACGCAGUGGGGACGGGUGAGUAACACGUGGGUAACCUCCCAUCAGAGGGGAUAACACUUGGAAACAGGUGCUAAACCGAUACUGAUGGAUGAACCCGCGGUGCAUUAGCUAGUUGGUUAGGUAACGGCUCACCAAGGCCACGAUGCAUAGCCGACCUGAGGGGGUGAGCGGACACACUGGGACUGAGACAGGGCCAAGACUCCGACGGGAGGCAGCCGUAGGGAAUCUUCGGCAAUGGACGAAAGUCUGACCGCGCAACGCCGCGGGAGUGAAGAAGGUUUUCGGAUCGUAAUACUGUGUUGUUAGAGAAGCGGUAUCUAACCAGAAGGCCACGGCUAACUACGUGCCAGCAGCCGCGGUAAUUC
rnacentral:rRNA from 1 species